UACAGAGGGGGCAAGCGUUGUUCGGAAUUACUGGGCGUAAAGGGCGCGUAGGCGGCGAUUCAAGUCAGGCGUGAAAGGCCUGGGCUCAACCCGGGAACUGCGUUUGAUACUGGAUUGCUGGAGUCCGGGAGAGGAUGGCGGAAUUCCCAGUGUAGAGGUGAAAUUCGUAGAUAUUGGGAAGAACACCGGUGGCGAAGGCGGCCAUCUGGACCGGAACUGACGCUGAGGCGCGAAAGCGUGGGGAGCAAACAGG
rnacentral:rRNA from 1 species